GUGUUUGCUUCGUCAGCACCUAUACUAAAAUUGGAAUAAUAGAGAUGAAUAGCAUGGCACCUGUGCAAGGAUGACAUGCAAAUUUGUGAAAUGUUUCAUAUUGUU